GCCGAUGUAGCUCAAUGGUAGAGCAAUCCCUUCGUAAGGGAGAGGUUGGAGGUUCAACUCCUCUCAUCGGCU
rnacentral:tRNA from 1 species